rnacentral:rRNA from 1 species
GAUGAACGCUGGCGGCGUGCCUAAUACAUGCAAGUCGAGCGAACGGACGAGAAGCUUGCUUCUCUGAUGUUAGCGGCGGACGGGUGAGUAACACGUGGAUAACCUACCUAUAAGACUGGGAUAACUUCGGGAAACCGGAGCUAAUACCGGAUGAUAUUUUGAACCGCAUGGUUCAAAAGUGAAAGACGGUCUUGCUGUCACUUAUAGAUGGAUCCGCGCUGCAUUAGCUAGUUGGUAAGGUAACGGCUUACCAAGGCAACGAUGCAUAGCCGACCUGAGAGGGUGAUCGGCCACACUGGAACUGAGACACGGUCCAGACUCCUACGGGAGGCAGCAGUAGGGAAUCUUCCGCAAAGGGCGAAAGCCUGACGGAGCAACGCCGCGUGAGUGAUGAAGGUCUUCGGAUCGUAAAACGCUGUUAUUAGGGAAGAACAUAUGUGUAAGUAACUGUGCACAUCUUGACGGUACCUAAUCAGAAAGCCACGGCUAACUACGUG